rnacentral:rRNA from 1 species
GCGGCGGACGGGUGAGUAACACGUGGGUAACCUGCCUGUAAGACUGGGAUAACUCCGGGAAACCGGAGCUAAUACCGGAUAGUUCCUUGAACCGCAGGGUUCAAGGAUGAAAGACGGUUUCGGCUGUCACUUACAGAUGGACCCGCGGCGCAUUAGCUAGUUGGUGAGGUAACGGCUCACCAAGGCGACGAUGCGUAGCCGACCUGAGAGGGUGAUCGGCCACACUGGGACUGAGACACGGCCCAGACUCCUACGGGAGGCAGCAGUAGGGAAUCUUCCGCAAUGGACGAAAGUCUGACGGAGCAACGCCGCGUGAGUGAUGAAGGUUUUCGGAUCGUAAAGCUCUGUUGUUAGGGAAGAACAAGUGCAAGAGUAACUGCUUGCACCUUGACGGUACCUAACCAGAAAGCCACGGCUAACUACGUGCCAGCAGCCGCGGUAAUACGUAGGUGGCAAGCGUUGUCCGGAAUUAUUGGGCGUAAAGGGCUCGCAGGCGGUUU